UACGUAGGGGGCAAGCGUUAUCCGGAAUUACUGGGUGUAAAGGGUGUGUAGGCGGUUAAGUAAGUCAUAUGUGAAAGUCCAUUGCUCAACAAUGGGUGUGCAUAAGAAACUAUUUGACUAGAGUGCAGGAGAGGUAAGCGGAAUUCCUAGUGUAGCGGUGAAAUGCGUAGAUAUUAGGAAGAACACCGGUGGCGAAGGCGGCUUACUGGACUGAAAACUGACGCUGAGGCACGAAAGCGUGGGGAGCGAACAGG
rnacentral:rRNA from 1 species